GGAUGUGAGGGCGAUCUGGCUGCGACAUCCGUCACCUCACCGAUUGCCAGGGUUGAUUCGGCUGAUCUGGCUGGCUGGGCGGGUGUCCUCUUCCUCCCUCACUGCUCCACGUGUGUCCCUCCCGAAGCUGCGCUCUGUGGAAGAGGACGACCUUCUCCAAAUAGAGCAGGACCAGUCUUAGUCAGGGGCAUACGAGCAGCUGCACUCCCCUGCUAGAACCCCCAAACAAGCUCUCAAAUUUCCAGAUCCCACUUAAACAGCCACACAAGCCUAUCACUCUCGUCCUGUGCGGGGGAAUGGAG
rnacentral:sRNA from 1 species